rnacentral:rRNA from 1 species
UGCUUAAAGGGACCGUAGCUUGGUUGUUAAGUCUCUUGGGAAAUCUACCGGCUCAACCGGUAGGCGUUCAGGAGAUACUGGCAAUCUAGGGACCGGGAGAGGUGAGAGGUACUCCAGGGGUAGGAGUGAAAUCCUGUAAUCCUUGGGGGACCACCUGUGGCGAAGGCGUCUCACUAGGACGGCUCCGACAGUGAGGGACGAAAGCUGGGGGAGCAAACCGGAUUAGAUACCCGGGUAGUCCCAGCUGUAAACGAUGCGCGUUAGGUGUAUCGGUGACCACGAGUCACCGAGGUGCCGAAGGGAAACCGUGAAACGUGCCGCCUGGGAAGUACGGUCGCAAGGCUGAAACUUAAAGGAAUUGGCGGGGGAGCACCACAACAGGUGGAGCCUGCGGUUUAAUCGGACUCAACGCCGGAAAGCUCACCGGAUAAGACAGCGGAAUGAUAGCCGGGCUGAAGACUCUGCUUGACUAGCUGAGAGGAGGUGCAUGGCCGUCGUCAGUUCGUACUGUGAAGCAUCCUGUUAAGUCAGGCAACGAGCGAGACCCACGCCAACAGUUGCCAGCAUGUCCUCCGGGAUGAUGGGGACACUGUUGGGACCGCCUCUGCUAAAGAGGAGGAAGGAAUGGGCAACGGUAGGUCAGCAUGCCCCGAAUUAUCCGGGCUACACGCGGGGCUACAAUGGACAGGACAAUGGGGUAUCGACACCGAGAGGUGA